GAUGAACGCUAGCUACAGGCUUAACACAUGCAAGUCGAGGGACCGGCGCACGAGUGAGUAACACGUAUCCAACCUGCCCUUUACUCGGGGAUAGCCUUUCGAAAGAAAGAUUAAUACCCGAUAUAAAGGAUGGGGAUGCGUUCCAUUAGGUUGUUGGGGAGGUCACGGCUCACCAAGCCAUCGAUGGAUAGGGGUUCUGAUAGGAAGGUCCACCACAUGUGAACUGAGACACGGUCCAAAAUCGUACGGGAGGGAGCAGUGAGGAAUAUUGGUCAAUGGGCGCUAGCCUGAACCAGCCAAGUAGCGUGAAGGAGGAAGGCUUAUGGGUCGUAAACUUCUUUUAUAUAAGAAUAUGUAUUAUAUGAAUAAGGAUCGGCUAACUCCGUGCCAGCAGCCGCGGUAAUAC
rnacentral:rRNA from 1 species